rnacentral:rRNA from 1 species
AGAGUUUGAUCAUGGCUCAGAAUCAACGCUGGCGGCGUGCCUCAGACAUGCAAGUCGAACGCGAAAGUCCCUUUCGGGGGACAAGUAGAGUGGCGCACGGGUGAGUAACACGUAGGUAAUCUACCUUCGGAUGGGGAAUAACAACCGGAAACGGUUGCUAAUACCGCAUAAUGCAGCGGCACCUAAUGGUGACAGUUGUUAAAGCGGGGGAUCGAAAGACCUCGCGUCUGAAGAGGAGCCUGCGGCGGAUUAGCUAGUUGGUAAGGUAACGGCUUACCAAGGCGACGAUCCGUAGCCGGCCUGAGAGGGCGGUCGGCCACACUGACACUGACAUACGGGUCAGACUCCUACGGGAGGCAGCAGUCGGGAAUUUUGGGCAAUGGGCGAAAGCCUGACCCAGCAACGCCGCGUGAAGGAUGAAAUCCCUCGGGAUGUAAACUUCGCAAGAACGGGAAGAAUAAGUAGGGGACAAUACCCCCUAUGAUGACGGUACCGUUUGUAAGCUCCGGCUAACUCCGUGCCAGCCGCCGCGGUAAUUCA